AGUGAACGCUGGCGGCGGGCCUAAUACAUGCAAGUCGAACGGAGUGGCGCACGGGGGAGUGAUAUGUAGGUGAUCUGGCCUGCACAGAGGAACAACCGAUGGAAACGGCUGCUAAUACCUCCUAGUGUAGGAUGAGACUAUAUCGUAUCAGCUAGUUGGUAAGGUAAUGGCGUACCAAGGCUAUGACGCGUAACUGGUCUGAUAGGAUGAUCAGUCACAUUUGACCGGAGGCACGGUCCAGACUCCUACGGGAGGCAGCAGUAGGGAAUAUUGCGCAAUGGGGGAAACUCUGACGGAGCAACGCCUCGUAGAGGAUGACACGUUGCGGGGCGUAAACGCCUGUUAUCAGGAAAGCGGUACCUUAUGAAUAAGCACCGGCUAACUCCGUGCCAGCAGCCGCGGUAAUAC
rnacentral:rRNA from 1 species